rnacentral:lncRNA from 1 species
CCGCAUAAUCCAAGAUGUUUAGCUCCCCCAUGUAGAUAUGUCGGAUAAUACCCAGCAGGGGAGUGUGAAUUCUAGGGUAAUCUGUGUUGAUUUAAUCCAGGAAUAUGAGUAUAAAUACAAGGUCCCAUCUUUGGUGUAUCAGACAUUCCCACUUUGUACUGGACAGAAGCAGAAACGAUGAAAGUUGUGUUGUUUGUUUGUAUGUUGACCGUGGUCACUGCUGGAGAGGCGGACACAGAGGUUAACCACAUAGAUUCCGUCAUUGAGCAACUCAAGGCAAUACAAUCAGAUCUGGUUGGAAUGGAUCAUCAGAUGAACACGAAAUUCCUUGACGAUGUCACUGAUGAGUCAUCAACGAACAAGGGUGCGACAAAAACUUCACCAACGACUUGGG